AGUGUUGAGGUGGUUCUCAGUAGAAAAUAAAAAGGUAGGCUACGCUUGAAACCCUUAAAUGUAACUGGUUUAGUUACUUACAUCGUGUGUUGCACUUUCGCCACCGCUAACAAUCUGAAACAUCGCGCAUACGUGUGCUCGCUCUGUAGUUUGUAGCUCGCGCUCCGGAUACUGUAAACAACUCCACCUUCUUUGAUUUGAUUGGCUAUCGCAUCAUUUUGAUUUUGACAAGCACUUUAGACUGCUGAUUGAGACAGACAGAUAGAGAUAGGCGUUGCACAGUAUUUAAAGUUAUAUAUUAGGCAAUUAUUCCAAUAGUGAUUGUUAUUACACACCACUGGAUCUUAGUGGUGGGCACGAGCCUGCGUGAGAAAAUGGAUUUGGUCGUAAGAGCGUGAGAAAUAGGGCCAAUUGCGCGUGCCCUGCCAUGUAGGAGUAUUUUUGUAAGGCCUGCGACUGAGGGUCAUAUUUCAAUAUAAAGGCUACCUCAAAAAUGAAUUCCAUAUGGAACUUAGUGGAAGACCAUCUCCUAGAAAUGUGCAGAUGAAUGUAAGAUGUCAAAAAGGCACCACAGUCAUUGUUUGUGAAAAUUACUGCUUUGCAUUAAAUGAUAUUUCAUGGUAAUGUAAUAUAGAUUUUUUACCUUUUGAAAGUAACAAAUAUAAUAUGAUUACAGUAUGUAAUAAAAUAAUUAUAGUUAUAAGCAUUUGUCACUGUGUCUGUUAUGUUUUACCUGUUAUCAGUGCGUAAACAAAUGGUCACUAAUACUCUAUUCAAAAGAGGUAAGAAAUUGUUUUGUUCAAACACAGCAUAAUUACAAAGUAUGGUUUGCUGGGUUUUAAUUGUUUUCUUAUUAACACAAAAAACAACAUGACUACCCUUUCUGCUUCCUCCACCAGCCUUAGAGCAGCUGUUCAUGUAUAACUCUGUGGUAGAGCAUUGCGUUUGCAAUGCAAAAGGUCAUCGUGGGUUUGAACCCAGGGAACACAAAUACUGAUACAAAUAAUAAGCAGCUUGUAAUGGACUUUAAGUUCCUUAAAAGCGUCUCCAAAUGCAUAAAUAUUAUAUAUACACAUGAUGUAACCCCAGGGUGACCACCGUGAAACAUGUAUGCAUUAGGUGGACGGCUUUAUCCAAAGCAUAUACUUUUUAUUAGUAUGUGUGCUUCUUGGUUAUUUAGCCCAUAACCUCUUAUUUCAGCCUUGUUUGUUUUAUUUUUUAUGUAUAAACACUGUAAAACCUAACAGUGUAAGUCACUAAACGAAAUUAGUUUUUUAAACUUAUUAUUUUUUAAAGUUAAUUUCACUUAAUAAAAACUGUGAUAUGAACUUAAAAACUGCAAAUGAUUAACCAUAACUUUAACCAAAUAUUUAAGCAACAGCAGGACACAGAUAUGAAGAGCUAACAGGUAAGCACUGCAAACUCUUUCAACCUUUUUAAAGCAUCUUUAAUCUUUAAAAACAUGUUGUUUGUCGUGACUCUACAUUUUAAUACUCACUCGGUUACAGUAAUUUGUGUAAUGUUGGACAUAUAAUGAAACAACGUGACAUUGACACAGCUAUUUGACCUCAGACUCAUUUUUAUCAGCAGAUUAGUGUGCUUUGAGUACACCACAGUUCUGUAAGUGAGAAAUUAAGUCAUAUUUAUGUGUGUUUCUUUCUCAGUAAGGACUAACUUUAACUGACUGUCUGUCUGUCUGUUAUCAACCAAACGGUCAUUCAAGACCUUUUAAAGGUUAGCACGAAUGCAUCCAGCAUAAUUUUGGAUCUUUACCAUUGAGGAGACUGGCUGACUGUUCUCAACCAACCAUCAUUCACACGCUAAACUUUAAAGGAAGAAGAUAGAUCCAUUGCUGCCCAAGCUAAGCUUUUUUGACACAAGUGUGACAUCCCGAAAAAAAAAAACCCAUUAAUGACCGGUGGGUGAAGGACCUCCUCCUGAGGUAUGUGCAGCUGUUCGGUCUCCUGCUACCUCGAGGUCAACGUGGACAGGGCAAUUCAUGGGCAGGGCCGCCUCAGGUCGUUCACUUUCCUCGAGAUGCGGCAGCCUGCACAAGCUGGGACCGGCCAAGAGAGGAAAUGGUGCAGGAGGUGUACACCUCUACAAAGCAGUGGCUGGUGAUGAAGGAGGAGGAGGACAUCACCACCAAGUCCCUGAAGUGCUUCAGGCGCUACAUUCUCGAUAGAGAGAAGCCUCCACCAGAUGCCACUCUUCCUGCCGCGACUUCCAGCUCUUCAAGAAGAGAACCAGGAUCAGUCAGAGCUUUAUUUGCAAGUCCACGUGCUCAUCUCCACUGAAGCCUUUGCAGAGAAAUGAAACAGUGACUGCAUGUUUGAUCCGGUGGUGAUGAAAAUGAAUAGAAAGUAUGACUUCAACAUGUUUUUGGUGGUAUGGUACAGUGCUUUAUAUAGAUUAAUGGUACAGUCUUCUUUAGCUUAAAGGUAAAUAUAACAGUGAAUGAAGAUAAUUCUUAAACUGUGUUUAGAUGUAGUUCAAUAAAGUUCAGAGUAUCAGUGAAGCAAGUUUGAGAGAUUUCUACAUAAAAUCUGUAAUGUAAAAAUAUAAUCUUGAAGGUUACAUUUUUUUAAUAAGGUCUAUCUCUAUUUACAGUUGUAUUAUGCCACAUUUAACCUCCUAAGACCUGGAUGUCACAUAUGUGGAUACUUAUAUGUAUAUGUAAUACUUAAUUCUGUGUAACUGGAACCUAUUAUACACAAACAUGGACAAAUACACUGCUUCAUGUUCAUAGAAAAAUAUUUGGUUAUUAUAUUAAUUGGUUCCCAAAAAUAGCUGGUAGAAAUCUGAAAAAAAAAGACAAACCAAAGCUCGGUCUUAGGAGGUUAAUUUAGGCUUCAUGUUAUCUGACCAAAGAUAGGAGAUUGUUGCAUAAAUUGGUUUGGGGCAGAAAAUAUAAUUUUAGUAUUGGAAACAUUUUUAAGAUCUUUUCCUCUCAUCUCAUACAGUAUUUUGUCCACCACAAUGACCCUUUAGUCUCUGUGGUGGUUCUUCAUCAGUCAAAUGUCCUUUAAUGUGUUUGGGAAUUAAUAUUACGUAGUGUUUAGUGAAUUUAACCCUGCUGUAAACCCAGCAAUAUGUAACUCUGUUGAUGCUUUAACUGCUGUAAGGGAUGAGGGAUUAUUAUCUAACUUAAUGUCUGUUUUUGACUGACUGCCAGUGUUUAACUUUUUGAUAUGCCUGAAGGAUUUUGAGCAAUGAAAAAACCUUUCGUGUGUAUCAUGCAUUAAAAUAUAUGACCUUUGAUGCUUUUUAAUGAUUUAAAUAAAAUCUCCAUACAAUCUGAGCAUGUCUGUGUUUUACUCUCGACUAAUACUCUUUUUCUUUUAACAUUACUGGUAAUUAACAUAGCGCCAUCUAGUGGUUGUAAAUGAAUAACACAAUAGGUCUAAAUAUAUGAAUACAAAAUUAAGAAAAAGAAGAAAACAUCUCU